rnacentral:rRNA from 1 species
CCUACGGGGAGCAGCAGUGGUGAAUAUUGCGCAAUGGGCGAAAGCCUGACGCAGCGACGCCGCGUGAGUGAUGAAGGUCUUCGGAUCGUAAACCUCUGUCAGCAGGGAAGAACGGUCACUGUGCUAAUCAGCAGUGACUUGACGGUACCUGCAAAGGAAGCACCGGCUAACUCCGUGCCAGCAGCCGCGGUAAUACGGAGGGUGCGAGCGUUAAUCGGAAUUACUGGGCGUAAAGCGCUCGUAGUCGGUAUGUCAAGUCAAGGGUGAAAUCCCCGCGCUCAACGUGGGAACUGCCUUUGAAACUGGCAAACUGGAGUGUGUGAGAGGAUAGUGGAAUUCCAGGUGUAGGAGUGAAAUCCGUAGAUAUCUGGAGGAACAUCAGUGGCGAAGGCGACUAUCUGGCACAUAACUGACGCUGAGGAGCGAAAGCGUGGGUAGCAAACAGGAUUAGAUACCCCAGUAGUC